UUUAAACACAUAAUAUACAUUGAGUAGGGGAUUUACUGUUGAAAUUUCAGCUCAAAUGGAUUAGCCUACAGCCUGGAACAAAGCAAGUUAGGUGAGUCCCUCGGAAGCCUGUCAUUACAGAAAACUGCAGACCUAGAUUUGUCCAAAAUUUCUAUAAAAAGUAGGAAGCAUGACGUGGCCUAAAACCUAGUUUUUAAAACCCCUGGGAACCACUCUUUUGACACGUUAGGUGUCUGGGAAGCUAACGUGUCAAAAGGGGGGGUGUCUAGCAUGUUUCAGCAGGCAGCAACUUGUGCUGCUGCUGUUCAACCGUUAGGAGUUCAGUGGUUGGUUGUAGGUGCCAGCCCAAAUCAGGCCAGGAAAAGCUCCAGGGAGGGAGAGAGGAAGCUAGGGAAGAGAGAGAGCUACUUGGGGAAUCCAAAUAAUUUGUGGAAGAAGGUUUAAAGUAAAGAGGAAGAGCAACUUGCUGUUGGGCUGCAGAACAGAAAUACAGAAAUUUUUGGUGCACCCAGGCUUCCUAGCAAAUUUCAGGAGGAGAAGAGAGUCCCGGAAGUGUGCCGGGAGUAUCAAGCACUAGGGUGGUGCGUUAGCCAUCACAAGAUCGGCAGAGUCAUAACAUUAUAAAAGUACCGCAUCAGCAUCAUCCUAGAAGUUUGUCAUAGAAGGUUGGCCAUGCCCCUCUGAGUGAAAGGAAAAAAAACCUUUGUAUUAUGCAUAUAGUUGGGGUGUGAAUGUAAACUAACUUGAGACAGAUGUAAAGUUUGUUAUAUUUUGAGCUAUGUAUAGUAGACUUUAAGUUAUCAAUGAAAGCUUGGGUUGCUUUUAGUUA